UAGGGAAUCUUCGGCAAUGGACGAAAGUCUGACCGAGCAACGCCGCGUGAGUGAAGAAGGUUUUCGGAUCGUAAAACUCUGUUGGUAGAGAAGAACGUUGGUGAGAGUGGAAAGCUCAUCAAGUGACGGUAACUACCCAGAAAGGGACGGCUAACUACGUGCCAGCAGCCGCGGUAAUACGUAGGUCCCGAGCGUUGUCCGGAUUUAUUGGGCGUAAAGCGAGCGCAGGUGGUUUAUUAAGCCUGGAUGUAAAAGGGCAG
rnacentral:rRNA from 1 species